rnacentral:rRNA from 1 species
UACAGAGGGUGCUAGCGUUGUUCGGAAUCAUUGGGCGUAAAGGGCGUGUAGGCGGUUUGUUAAGUCAUGUGUGAAAUCCCUCGGCUUAACCGGGGAACUGCGUCUGAUACUGGAUGGCUAGAGGUUGGGAGAGGGAUGCGGAAUUCCAGGUGUAGCGGUGAAAUGCGUAGAUAUCUGGAGGAACACCGGUGGCGAAGGCGGCAUCCUGGACCAAUUCUGACGCUGAUGAGCGAAAGCCAGGGGAGCAAACGGG